UUUUCCCAGAUUUGAAAAUGAGCCACUUGUCUUGAAGUGCCCUCCGCUCCAGGGCGUGCGGUCUCGCAGCCCGGGUACCCGCAGUGUUUUACAGCCGGUGCCUUAAUGACAUCUCCUUCAUUAGCUUCCACUUUGCAUCUGUGUUUCUUAAGUUCUGCUGAAGUCAGACAACAAACCAGGACGGUACGGUUUAGAGAGAGAGAAAAAAAAACCGCUCGGUGGCAUUGGCAUCUGGUUUUCAAAAGGAAGUGUUGAAAUUGCACCUUCAGUUUGGAGCCAGUGCGGUGUGAGUGGAAGCUCACCGGGUCCCCGUCGCUACCUAUUGUGCUUCGCUAAUUAAUCGUGUUUUAUCGAAAUGAUCCACUCGAAAGAUCGGCGGAACUGCACGUCCAAGUUGGAGCGAUGAUUCAGUGUGCACGUUAACUGUAGCAAGGUGUCAGCCCGAAUUUAGGAUUCUUUUGCAAGUUUACUCCAAGUGGAAAAUUCGGAAUAAAGAUCAUUUUCUGCCCAAGGCUGGAUCUCACGAGUGUAUAUGAUCGAGCCAGGGUUAACGGAUUUGGUGCCAUCUCGGAUUCCUGUCAAUGGGGAGAAUCUCAUCGCCGAUGAUCUUGAGAGCAGCUUUAUCGGACCCUGGCGGUCUACAGGCUCCAUACCCAGCAGUUUUCCAACUGAUCGAUAAUCGGUAACCAAGGUUUACCCAAUGUAAGGAAGCAAGUCAGUUUUUGUUUAAAAGAAAACCCACUCCCAAUGUACCCUCUGGUGCUUCUGACAAAGAGAACUCUUGGUCGAUUGAGGUCGGACAAAAGACGGAUUAUCAACUUGAUGGAUGUCAGCACUGAGAUAUGGGACAUAUUCUGCAUUUGGGCGAUCAGUGUGAAACAACUGCACUCACAUAUGUGAUACUUCCCCCUUACUCUCCCACAAGGUGUCUUGGACUCAAAAGGUCACGUCUGAAGGAAGAACUUGCUUUUGUAUCGUGCCUUCAGAGGGUCCUAAUGUACUUUUCAGCCAGUAAAUGCUUUUGAAGCAUAGUCACUGCUGCGAUGUAGAAAACAUGGCAGCCAAUAUGUGCAAAACAAGAUCCCACAAACAGCAAUGUGCUAAUGACAAGACCACCUUUUUUAAAAAAAAACAAUGUAGUUUGAGGCAUAAAUUCUGGCCUGGAAACUGGGGAGAAUUGCCCUGCUCUUCUUUGAAUGGUGUCAUCAGACCUUUUACAUCCACCUGAAAGGUUAGAUGGGUUCUUGGCCCAGCCAAAAGAUAGCAACUCCCCCAGUGCAGCCCUUCCCCAUUUCAGCACUGAAGUCUGGAUUACAGCCUGGAUUAUGUGCUGAAGGCUCAGAAGUAGGACUGGAACCCACAACCCUCCGACUAGGAGGCAAAAGCACUAGCAACUGAGUCCAGGCAGUGCAACUACUGCACUCAUGUGACUUUUUUUGCAUUUCCCACAUCAACCAUUCUGUUACUCCUGAGUGAGAUUGUUAAUCUGUUCUGUUCUAUGGUCCCAAUUCUCACUAGCGAAUUGGGUGAGACUAUCCAAUGUCCCCUGGGAUCCUUUAUGUCAACAGAGAAAGGAGACUUUGACCUCCUCAAUCUCAACUGGAUUUGAAUCCAUAUCCCGAAGUCCAACAUAUUUGAGUUGAAAUCACUCCCCAUCUGACAAUUCAUUUAUUUCAAAAGCUGUAAUUGUUGGCCUAGCAACAAACCAUUAGUUACAUCAUACACUAUGUAUAAAUUUUAUGAGCCAUAAUGCAGACAGCCCUGUAGCAUAUGAAAGAACGUGUAAAGUCUUGAAGAGUUUAUUACACUAGGAUCAUCCAGAUUAACACUUCAGCAAAGCUUACUGUGAGAAAUUUUGUACAGGUACAUGCCAACUGUUUUGCAAAUCAAACAUCUAGAAAUUACUUGAAUUGCUAAUUGACUAUGGUAGAAGCUGCUUAGUACAAUCACCCUCAGAAGCUGCCAACACAGUCAAAUGGCAGUGUUUGUUCUCAUGACAUUUUUAUUCCUAAAGAAAACAAAGGUGGUAAAAAUCAUUCAGAAAGCAUGGACAUGAUAGAUUUGUAUUUUAUUAGUAACUCACACCAUGCCAUUAACCUAUCACCCCUUGUGUUCGCUGACCUAUACUGGUUCUCUGUUCAGCAACACAUCCAUUUUAACUUUUCAUCCUUGCUUUCAAAUCCCUUCAUGUUCUUGCCCAUGUCUAUCUCUGUAACCCCCUGUAGCUUAUAAUUCCCUGCAGUCCUUGUGCUCCUCCAAUUCUGGUCUCUUGGGCAUCCUCAGCUUGCAGCCAUAUUUUUAGUUGCCUGGGCCUGAAGCUCUGGAAUUCCCUCACUAAACCUCUGUGCAUCACUACUUUUCCAUCCUCUUAAGAUGUUGCUUAAAGCAUGCCUCUCUGACCAAGGUUUCAAUUGCCUCCUUAUAUCUCAUGUGAUCCAAUGUCAAUUCUUUUUUAAUAAUGGUUCCGUGAAGUGUCUUAGAACAUUUUAUUACAUUAAAGGCACCAUAGAAACCCAA